rnacentral:lncRNA from 1 species
UUCAUUCUUUACUCACUAUUGGAUAAGUUGCUAAAUGAUUAAUUAAUUUAUUAAAAAUAACUCUAUGAACUCUCUAUAUGCUUGAUUAAGAAUUAUUAUCCACGGCAUUAUUUUUAUUGACCAUAAACAUGAGAAUGUGUACUUGGUAUGUUUUUGAAUAUAUGUAUCAAAGAAUCCUUUUUGGCAUGAAAACUUACCUUAUGCUAGUAUGGACCUAAUUUUAAAAAGACCUUGUCAUCAGUUUGCUUAGAUUAUCUACUUAAAGGUCAAAGUUUUGCUAUGCAUGCUAGCUAAGGAAACAAACAAAAAUCAUUUCUAAAUCUAAAGAUGUUGUUUCCAUCUCCAAGUUUUUCAAAAGCUUACAUUGGAUUUAUUCUUGGAAAAUAAAACUGAAGUAUUUUUCUGUAUUUACUAAAUCUUGUAAAAGUGUUUUAAAUGAUAAAGGCUUUCAAACUGUGAAGAUAAAGAGUAUCAUGGCACAGUGUUGAAAACCAAAAUCCUGAUAAAGGUUAUACAGAAAAUAAUAUUAAAUCCAAUGAUUUCAGCACCAAGGACACCAUAAGUAAAAUAGAGUUAAUAGAAUUCUUGAAGAAAUGAAAAAGGACAAUUAUGUAUGAUAGUCAUCUACUCAAAUAAUUUUUAAAAAAAAGACUAUCAUCACUGCUUGUCAUACAUAUGAUUUCUAUUAAAUCUAUUGUUGAUGAAAAUUUUGAUCUUCUGGAAAAUGGACCAUUGCAUAUCUUUCAUAUUUUUCAGUCGUACAUGUUUGAUAUGCUCUUAUGAAAAUAAUGCCAAAUCUGAUAAAGAUAUUUCUAUUCUUGGAUAUCGUUCAUCAAGCAAUGCAUAUAGAGUAUUCAAUGAAAAGUUUUUAGGUGCAAAAAUAUCAAGGUAUUUUAUUCUUUAUGAGACUAAUGAUUUAUUAUCAAGAUACUAAAAUUAAAUUAUGUAUGUAUAUGGUUAAUCUUUUACAUAUAACAAUCUGAAAAACUUGUUAAUAAUUAGAACCAACUUGGAUUUUUCAGAUAUGCUCUUAAUGAAGAAAAAGUGAUGACUAUUAAAAGACUAAAUCAA